rnacentral:lncRNA from 1 species
GCUGUUCUGUUUUGUAGCACUACGGAUUCAACUUUCAGAAAGGACAUUAGUACUGGUGAUAUUCUCACAACUGAUGAGUUUUCGGUUGAAGCUCACUAAACACGUUUCCAUCCAACCAUUUUAUCCAGAUGAAUUAUCUGUCCACGAAAAAAGUCACGACCGGGCUGAUGGAAACAUGAAAUGCCGGUACAAUUUAUAAAUGCCGUAGGAUAAUUUGGUCGUUCGACAUGGUAGGAUCUUUAUGUGUCGGUAAAAUUAAUUAUGCGAGUAAUGGCGGUGGAAACGCCUUUAUGCGCAAAUAUUGAUAAACACAUUAAUAACCAUCAUAUCGAAGCAAACUUGGAGUCACGCGAUGUUAUGUUGUGUGGUCCUACCACUACGACUUGGGAAAACAUGCAGUUUAUUAGGCUACAGAUGAAAUAAAUGAUGAUGAACUUCACAGGGUGGUGAAUGUGCAAGCCCUAGGACCAUGCCUCAGGACUACCUGGCCUGAUGACUCCUUGCUGUCCCCAGUCCACCUGGCCGUGCUGCUGCUCCAGUUUCAACUUUUAUUUUUAUUUCACCUUUAUUUAACCAGUUCGUUCCAGUCAUUGGCAGCAGAGAACUGGAAGGAGAGACGGCCAAAGGAGGAAUUGGCUUUGGGGGUGACCAGAGAGAUAUAACUGUUCUGCCUGCGGCCAUGGAACCCUGACCUGUUCACCGGACGUGCUACCUGUCCCAGACCUGCUGUUUUCAACUCUCUAGAGACAGCAGGAGCGGUAGAGAUACUCUGAAUGAUCGGCUAUGAAAAGCCAACUGACAUUUACUCCUGAGGUGCUGACCUGUUGCACCCUCGACAACCACUGUGAUUAUUAUUAUUUGACCCUGCUGGUCAUCUAUGAACAUUUGAACAUUUUGGCCAUGUUCUGUUAUAAUCUCCACCUGGCACAGCCAGAAGAGGACUGGCCCAUCCCCUCAUAGCCUGGUUCCUCUCUAGGUUUCUUCCUAGGUUUUGGCCUUUCUAGGGAGUUUUUCCUAGCCACCGUGCUUCUACACCUGCAUUGCUUGCUGUUUGGGGUUUUAGGCUGGGUUUCUGUACAUAACUUUGAGAUAUCAGCUGAUGUAAGAAGGGCUUUAUAAAUUGAUUUGAUUUGGUGGGUUUGGCGUCGAAAGAAGGAUGUGAGAAGCAGAAAAUAACCCCAAACCUACUGUAAAAUAUGGUGUUGGAUCUUUUGGACCAGACUGUAGGUUGUGUCCUUCAGAGUUGUAGUCAGUGAGGGGAAGGAAGGUUACUGUUGUGGUUUAUUUAAUUGGUAAAUGCUCAUCCCCACCCGGCACAGCCAGAAGAGGACCCUCAGAGCCUGGUUCCUCUCUAGGUUUCAUCCUAGGUUCCGGCCUUUAUAGGGAGUUUUUCCUAGCCACCGUGCUUCUACAUCGGCAUUGCUUGCUAUUUGGGGUUUUAUGCUGGGUUUCUGUACAGCACUUUGUGACAUCUGCUGAUGUAAUAAGGGCUUUAUAAAUACAUUUGAUUGAUAUAAUGUGAGGCCAUUGAUAUUUCUGUUUUUAUUUUCCUCGUUUUUUCCUGUGAAGCGCAUUGCACUGCAUUCAUGUCUGAAAUGUUCUAUAUAAAUCAAGCUUAUUUUUGAUUUGAUACUGAUGGAAUGCCACGAUAGUGCAAACAGUUCCCUUUUACGUAUCACAAACAAUGCUUAUUAAAUAUUUAAUGUAUGAUGAACAUUCAUGUUUUUGAUGAAUUAACUGUUUUACUGUUUUGAGUAGGAUGUCUGCUCACGGUACAGUUGUUUGUAUAUCCUUUUCAAACCAAUAUUAAAGCAUUAGAUGUCAUCCCCCUGGGGUUAUUAGCCCAGUAUGUGACAGCAACAUUGGCAGAGUGGGAGUUAGUGCUUUUCAAAGCACUCUGGUGAUAAGAGAAACUUACAUUCCAUUCACCUGUCCUUUACUUUCAUGUGGUGUCAACCUUUCUUGUCAAAUUGACUGACAUGAUUGAAUUGUAUGAAUGUUUAUUGUAUGGAAAAAGGUGGCGACUGAAUUUCAAGAAUGUGGGAGGUAUUGUUCAUGGCGUGAGAUUAUUGUGUGAUAAAUCCGUAGAGCGCCUUGCCAAAGUAGAGGGCCAAAUGAAAAUUGACGACAGACCAUUAACACCAUAGAAUGUGCCCAAGGCUCCUAUGGCCCCAAUCACGCAGUAGCUCCUAAACGAUUAACACCAUACUGCAUGUGUGUGAAAAGCCUGUGAAUAGACCUGUGCUCUGUUUCAAUGAAAGGUCUUCAUUUGACCUGGCCAAUAAUCACAAAGACAACAUAUUCCUAAACCAUUUUCUUUCACCAUUUCACCGCCCAAUUUUAAUUUAGUUGAACAUGUCUUUAAAGAUAUUAAUUAAAGUCUCGAUCUAUGGUUCAUCUUAAGCAGGGUGUAUACAUGUAAUGAGAAAGGGAGCGAAUGAGAGAGAUAACAAGCAUGUUUUUGUGUCAGGGAAUGAAAACUAUCCCCCUCUGUUUUAUUGAUUUCUAUUCAAGAGGUGAUCAGCAUGGUGCCUGCCAUGUUUUGAUCUGCAGG